rnacentral:rRNA from 1 species
UCCGGCCGAACCGGACCGGCACGGGUGGAGUAACAACGUAUGCAACCUACGCCCGUCUCAGGGGGAUAAUCGUCGGAAACGGCGUCUAAUACCCCGUAUGAAGCUGGACGGCAUCGUCUGGUUUUGAAAGAAUAUCGGAGACGGAUGGGCAUGCGGCGCAUUAGCUAGUUGGCGGGGUAACGGCCCACCAAGGCGACGAUGUCUAGGGGUUCUGAGAGGAAGGUCCCCCACACUGGUACUGAGACACGGACCAGACUCCUACGGGAGGCAGCAG